UCUGCAUGCAGAGAGCUUUAGGAUUAGUCCUUGGCAUCACAUGCAGGCAAACAAAAAACCCCCUCAUACCACUGUUAGAAUAUAAAGAUAGUGCAGUUACGAUAGAAAACAGCAUGGGCCAGGCCUGGUGGUACACACCUUUACUCACAGCACUCAGGAGUCAGAAGCAAGUGGAUCUCUAUAAGUUUGAGGCCAGCCUGGUUCACAAAAAUAACAUCCAAGACAGCCAGGGUUGUUACACAGAAAAGCCCUGUCUCAAAAAUAAAAAAAAAAAA
rnacentral:lncRNA from 1 species